AAGCCAACUACAUCUGUAAAUUGUCAUCGUAAUAACCAUAUUGUGGCUAGUAGAAACAUCGUAUCGAGACAAAUGAUCAAAGUGGAAAAUUACACGAAACAUACUGGACAGUGGGGGAGAGUGGGUUGGCAACACUUGACAGUUCCCGACCUCCAACGCCGUUAA